rnacentral:rRNA from 1 species
AGCAGCCGCGGUAAAUUCCAGCUCCAAUAGCGUAUAUUAAAGUUGUUGCAGUUAAAAAGCUCGUAGUUGAAUUUCGAGACCGGUUUAUUGGUCGUGCUUUUGUACGUACCGGUAUUAUUGGUUUCUCCUUUCUGACGAACUAUAAUGCCAUUAAUUUGGUGUUAUGGGGAAUCAGGACUGUUACUUUGAAAAAAUUAGAGUGUUUAAAGCAGGCUCACGCUUGAAUACAUUAGCAUGGAAUAACGGAAUAGGACGUUUGAUUCUAUUUUGUUGGUUUCUAGGAUCGACGUAAUGAUUAAUAGGGACAGUCGGGGGCAUUCGUACUUCAUAGUCAGAGGUGUAAUUCUUGGAUUUAUUGAAGACUAACUACUGCGAAAGCAUUUGCCAAGGAUGUUUU